rnacentral:tmRNA from 1 species
GGGGUCGAUAUAGUUUCGACAGGAUUGUUUGCCUGGCAUUAGAUGCAGUCGAGUGAUUACGUAAUAAUCAAAAAACAAUAACUGACAACAGUUAUAUGAGAAACACAACACGUGUUUCAUACGCCGCUGCUUAGUUAGCACCUAAUUAAAGGUUCCAAUCUACAUUGAUUGGGCGACGCGCAGCCAAAUGUUUAGCCUUUAUCGUUUUGGAUCUGUGUCAAAUUAAAAGGAUAAGCUAUAGGAGCAGACUAAUUACCUAUAGUCGAAAAAACGAUAGUCUCGCAUAGUAAUAUAUCGCUAAUAUUUAUACCUAUGCUAAAUAUUAAUAUUAGAUAAACUGUAGAAGCUUUUGUAGGGUCUUUCUUGGACACGGGUGCGAUUCCCGCCGACUCCACCA